ACGUUCCAUUGAGGCGAGCGCGUGCUCCGGCGAGCACAUGGGCAGAGCGGCCCGCACCGCUCCGCUCCGCGCCGCUCCGCUCGGCCCCGCCGCCGCCGGACCCCAGCCCGGGAAAUGGGGGGGGGGCGCGUCUUGGCAGUGGGAACAACCAUUCUCAAGAGCUGGUGCUCUACUGUGGUGAGUCACUGGAACCACAUGCACUCUGUUUACUAGAGUGCAGAAUGUGCUCGUGCCUUGCUACUUCCCAGCAUGAGUGACUUUGCCUUUAUGAAGCUCUAUGCAUACGAGAUGACUGUGGGAACUCGUCUCUGUAAGGCCAACACCUGAGCCACUGACGAAGGGAGUCUGCAGUGCAGUUGAGGUCCCAGCCCUGUGCCUUCAAUCAUCUGGAGUAAUGCUGGGAGGAGCUUUCAGUGUGAUCCUUUCCAUAGCUUCCAAGGAUUUUUAGGAUUAUGGGAUUUAUGGACCUGCAAAAUCCUCUGGAGAACAUCAGCCACCCGCAAAACCAUCUGGAAAUUCCUGCCAUCUUUUUGCCCUGUCUUUCCUGGGUCACUGAAUGUUGGGAAGGAAGCAUCUCUGCUCUGAGGAUUACAGCAAAUCAGUCACUUGCCGUCCUUACUGGAAUACCUUCCCUUUCAGUUGCUUGGAACAGAGCAAUUAUUGCAGAAGGCAGAAGGAUAUUUUUUCCCUUUCACUGAGCUUUUGCAGUGCAGCAGUGGCCGUGUCUGGGAUGCUGCUGCGUCACUUGCAUUCUUCACCCCUCCUGCCUUGUUGGGAAGGAGCAACCCUCCGAAGCCAGCGGUAACUCUUUCCAGGCUUCUCACAGCAGUGCUUGGGGCCCUUCUGUGCUGCUUUGCUCCAUCCCAAAGCACUUUGGGACCACAGGGUCACCACCUAGGGUUUGCUCUGUAGCAGUGCUGGUAUUCCCUGUGCCAGACUGCCUCCCGAAAAGCUCCUGUCUCUCCCUGACACGUUCUCAGAUCUCGAGUAAAAAUAGUGUAACGAUUAUUGUAGUGUGGGAGAGCAGAGAACGCUGCAGGAAGCAUUUGGAAAAUGUUUGUUGCAAAUGGCUGCCAGCAGGGAUUGAGCAGGAGCAGGGAUUGACUUAGAUACUCAAAGCUGUGUGUCAGUGUGAGAAAGUGCACGUCUCAUCUUUUCUGGGUCUUUCUAGUGAGCACAUCCCCCUGAGGCUCGGCUGCAGGUCCCAGGGAUGCAGUGCGGGGCUGGAUGAGUACAGGGGAUAUACCUGCACUCAAUACAUCCCAACCUGCUCUUCUCUCAGGCUUCUCUUCUUUUUAUUUGUUUGUUUUUGGGGCUUUUUUUUUGUGUUGGGGAGGGGAGGGGGGGAGGCAUAUGAAUUACCCCAACCAACCCAGUGUUUUGGAUAUUAGAAACUUGUCAGUGCGUUGGCCACAUGGGAGGCAAUUGUUUCUUGCUGGUUAUCUGCAUGGCAAAAAAAAAAGAAAAAAUAAUAACCCUUACUGUUGCCGCUCUCUACAGUGUCAAAAUUGUCCGUUUCAUUCCUCAACUUCCUGAAGUUGUUGGUGUGGGGUGAGCUGCAGGAGCUCUGAAUCCCUGGUGAGAGCGGGGUAAAACUGCAGAAAUGGCCUGAGCAGGAAUAACCAACUUCAGAAGGGGAGGAAGUGAGUGUCUGACUACAACCUGCAAGCCUGUACUUCUGUAUGGCAGCGAUAGCCUGAGCAUGGUUAUCUUGAGCAUCAGUGUUGCUACAGUGAUGGAAACAGCUGAUUCUUGAUAAAAAGAGGAAGAUUUGUUAGAAGACAUCAUGAUAUCUUUUAGAUGCUUCAAAUUUUGUCUUUUUUCCCCCAUGAUGUAAGUGCAGAGGUUGUUCCUCUUUGAAUGGGUAUUUUACAUGAGCCUUCCUCUCAAAUUAAGUAGGAUCGUGUUUCUUCAGCAUUUAGUGUGAAUCUUGAUGCCUGGUGGUGUGUUUCAGCCUUCCGAAGAGACAUGCAAGAAUAAAGCAAGAUGAUUCACUGCAUACUAAAAUGCUCUACAUGUAAAAUAAUAAUAAUGAUAAAUAAAUAGAAAAGUUGCUGUUUCAGCUUUGCAGUAAAACUAUAAAACUCACCAGCCAGUAAACAGUGGAUCUCCUGUUCCCAUGGAGAAGAGCUGCUGCAGACCUAAAAGCUUGCUGUGGGAAAGAAAAGAAAUAUAAAUCAAAAAGAUCCACUCUUGGUCUUGCAAACAAAGGUUGCCUUGGAUUGUGGUCACAUGUUGCCGUUCAGCUGAUCGAGCUCAUGCCAAAAGGGGAAAGAUUUCUAGUACUUGCUUGAACCCCACUGAACUGGUUUAGGGAAUUAAUUAGAGGAAAACUCUUCACCUUUGUUUUUUCCCUCACUGGUUUUCUCCUAGACCUGAUGGCCCUGCGUGAACUCACCAGCCCAGCCACCCCUUCCGUGACUUGUGGCCACUGAGUGAACUUGACUGUGAUUUAAAUUGCACCUUCAGCAAAGGGGCUUUGGCUUCUCCCUGCUGAGGGAGAAGGAGCCUGCCAAAUACCCAAAUCUGAGCUUUGUAAAUCCUACCCAGCAAUUCUCGGUGGCCAAGUUGCUUCAAGGAUAUAAAGAGGAGGAACACCUGCGAGACCUUCUGGGGCUGAAUUGCAACCCCUGUGUAUAUCAAAGGUGUUGAUAAGCUGGUGUUGCUGGCAGCGCUCCUGGCCUGACCUAAUGCUCUGUGUGCAUAUGUUCUAUAAAUAAAGAUCAGGGCAGGCUUCUUCCCCUGAACACAUCUUCUGUCCAUGCCUAUGGAGGUGGUCAGGAGACCUUCCUAAGGCUGGACAUUGGAGGUUGUGUGAAAAUUUCCAAAAUUUUUGGCUCACAUAUUUGGUGUUAAGAUACAUACAUAUGUUGCAUGCAUCAGACAAUAGUUUUGAGGACAAACUCAGUGCAGCAGACUUAGCUCUCAUCCCAGGCAGUUUUCUCAGGCAUCUAAUCUUUACAAAGCUCAUCAGAUCACUGGUACCAGAGGGUGCUUUUCUUUGAGGGGUACUGUAUCAGCAGAGUUGGGUAUUGGAUUGCUUUCCAGGAUUUUCUUGCCUUCUCAUGUCAUGAGGCUUUUUUUGGUGAAGAUUUCAUCACACACUCAUCCUGUUGUCUUCUGUAGCAGAUGAGCCGUGGGUUCCUGGCUGGCACUUUCACCUACGGGUGAAAGUAGUAGGAUAAGAUAGUGCAUCCAACCUGUUAGUUUGGAAUACGAUGGUGGUUAUAUCCCUCUUUUUUUUUUUUUUUUUUUUUAACCUUGCAUUAGGGUGUGCUGAAGGAAGCAGGGAUGAAAACCACUGUAGGUUGAAAUUACCCAGCAAAGAGCCUGAAUCAACUGCAGAAGAUACUGAAAAUCUUGGUUACAGUCCCAUUUUUUAUUUUUUCAGUAUUAUGUCAUGUAGUGAGAAAGCAUAUCUGUUUCUUGGGUGAGGUGGAAUUAAACAGUUGCCUCUUCCCAAGUUGUCUGUGCUUCCCUGUGGCACCGCACACUUUGUUUGUAGCAUCCCGCAUGGGAGAUGAAAGGGUUUGAUGUAUACUGCCUUCGGGGCAGUGUGGAUUUCUCCUCAAAAACGCAGAUUCUAGUUUUAAAUGCCUAAAAAAUGAGACCUGUGCCUUAUCUCUUGGGAGAUCGUUGAUGGAUCCAUUCCUCAAAAAGAUAUUUUAUUCAUUCAAACUAUUCAGUUCUUUAAUUCAGUGCCACUCCCUUCAUUCGGAUGCCUGGAGUCUUUUAUCAUGUCUCCUCUUACUCAUUGCUUAGCCAAGUUAGACAUACUUAGUUCUUUUAAUCUUUCCUAGUAACUGAGUGUCUUUAAUCAUCGUGCUUGAUGUCAGAGUGUUUGAUGCCCACUUUUACUGAAAGUAAGCCUGGAUUUUGUGUGUGUGCAAAUCACUUGGGAAGUGAUCCAGGAGAGCAGGAGUAGCUGAGCAGCUGCAGCUGGUUGCACAGGCUCACUCCUGGAUUCCUCAAAAGCUCCCUCAAAUAUCCCACUGUGGGUGCUGAGGAAGAUUCUUGGCUCACCUCGUAUGCCAGCAGACUUGGCACGCUUGGGGUUUAAUUAAUGUUUUUGUUGGAUGUGGGCAGCAGCUCCCCUGAAGACGCCUCAUGGCUUGGCUUUCCAGAGGCACAUUUCUCUGGACUUCCAUGGAACUAACUGAAGAUGCAGGUGUUGAUUAUGUUUGCAGAAAACAGGCCCAGAAAGGUUACUGAAACUUACAUUUCCUUCUCUUACCCAUCAGAAACAAGAGCAAGAUAGAUGCUUAAUUUCCUUCUACAAAAUCCAUAGCAAAACCGAGGGAUGGGUUGUUUUUUGGGAGCAGUGAUUUUGCUACAUGCUGUUAGUGCAGCUCAUCUACUCUUGCUGCAGGUAUUAAUGUUGAUUUUCCAGAUGAGUUCAUAUAUUUGCACCUGAAAAUAAUCAUGCACAAAUUCUUAAAUCAGUGUGAAUGUAGGGAUUGUUGCUAUCUGUUACUGAGCUAUGCAAUGUAUCAUCUCAGCAUGGUGUCAUCAGACUUGGCUUUCUAGAGUUAAACAUCUGCUUUCCUUCUUUGACACAGAACUCCACAAUUUACCCCAUCUUAUUUCAGUGGGAGCUGUCGGUAUUUCUCUGUUUCAGAAAUCCUGGCCUGAUCCAAGCCCAGUGUCGACUCACAUGGGUCAACGCAGCACAUCUUCGGGUUUGCUGGCAUCAGCACUAAGGCAGCUUGGAGUGGCACCUCUGAGUGAAAGAGGAGCAUGGACUUUGAAUCACAGAGUGUUUGGCAACAAAUUAAAGAAGGCCAAAGACUCCCUGUCCCUCCCCCUCAUCCUAUUCUGCAAGAAUGCUUCUCAUACUUCCCAAACUUAGCGGUGCAAAUGUCACUCGGUUAAGUACAUUGCCUGACGAUGCUAUUCUGAUGUUAAUAAAGGUCCCAUUCCCCCCCACUGUGAUUCAAACUCCUUCUACCAAAGGGGCUGUGUGAUAUACAGCCACCCUUACAGGGGGUCCUGUGGCCUGGGAGAAGAAAGAAGAGCAAGCCCUGGUUUGGGGGAGAAAGCAGAGCUCCAGCACAGAGCAGCACCUGGUGCCUGCUGGAUGUCCCUUGUCACCCUUGGGUGACCAGAGUGUAAUGUGAGAUGUCCCUAAGGCCUGGAGAUGGCCACCAAGAAAAAUGUGCGCCCUCUUGGUGAUGCUUGUGCCCUCUUGGCAAACAUCCCAGGAGCACCACAUCAUCUGGAGGAGCCAGCAGGCUCGUUUUGGUGCUCCAUUGCUGAUUCACUGCAGGUGUUCGCCAUGAGAUGGGCACAGCACUGUAGAACACCAUCCCCACCCCAGGGGCACGUCACACCCUGCACGCAAUUACAUUCACCUCGCUGGAGGAUUUUCACUCCCUACCUUUGAUUGCAACCUUGGGGGCUGGAGUGAUAGCUUUUAUAUAUAAUUGGUUUACUUUACAGCAGCAUUUUGAAGAAGAGAGGAAAUGAAGCUUUUUGGUUGGAGGGAAGGGACAAGGUUUGGCUUGCUGACAUUUCUUUUGUUGCGAUGUUGUAUAGGUCUCGCUUGCCUGAAAAAAGGAAAAAGGAGGAGUGUGUGCAGGAGUUCAGGUCCUGCUGUGGCUUCUUGGGAAGUGAGGCAAGAGAAGAUGUGAACCAUCCACCACUCUUGCUGUAUGAAGGCAAGGAGUGCCUUUAUGACCUGCUACUUCUACUUCUCUGUCAGCUGUUCCUGGAAUGAUGGCCUGUGUCACUGGAGACUGCUUCAGAAAGUUUGUGAGACAGACACUAAGUCUAGUGAAUGGAAGAAAAUAUUUGUCACUGUCUUUGUCACUGCACCCAUUGUCCUUAUAUCUAGAAAAAAAAGACUUAAGUUACACAGCCAUCUUCUCUUCCUUCUUGUCCUCCACCCUCACAUCUUUUUGAAUGAGUAAUUUUGAAUGGAUCUUCAUCGAGAUGGAAUUUUGUCUUGCUUUGGGUAGUAUACAACUAAGUAACUAAAAUUUCCUUCUGAGAUUAUCUGGUAGGGAUGGAUUUGGAUGGUGCUAGGGCCUUAAUGCUCCAACUUAAUAACAGGGGAAAAGGAAUCCAACAGCACCGAUGUGUUCUUGGGGCAGAAAAGGAACCAGAUUUAACCCUAAGGUCAAGUCAUGGAAGAGAAGUGAUCCCUCAUGGUCAACUCCAACCUGAAGGAGCCCAAGGAGCAUGAUGGCCAUUUGACUGACCCAUCUUUUGGUUCUGUUCAGAAGAUGAUGUUCCUUUUGCAUGAACAUUAAUGACCUUUGUUUCAUUGUCGUGUCUUUAAGGACUCAAGAUGGUGUUUGCAGAGGAGAGAGAGACCUGGUCUGCCAUGACCGUGUCAGUUUUAUGUAUUUGCAUAAUGUAAAUGCCAGCCCAGCUGAAUUGUGACAGGUGUAUUUGUUAUAGGCAAAUAAAGGUUUUCAAGAAGCUGUGGAGUUUCUAGUUUGGUAAUCUGAGAAUGGGUACUUUAAAAGGUAUGUUUUGUGGCAUGACAUGGAGGGUUAGUUCCUUCGAGACAGAAGAAAGAUAAAAGGAUAAAAUUAUUACAACCAAAUUUGCCAUGUACCCUGACUACCAGUUUUGAGGUUGUCGGCUGAGGGAAGUGUUAUGCCUAAGCAGAGCAUCAGAGUCUCAUGCAAGGGCCUUAGUGUGUUCAAUUUUACCUUGAUUUUACAUCAAGUUACUGUGUUGUGGUUUAACCUGGCAGGCAGCUCAGUUCCAUGCAGCCAUUUUCUCCUCUCCCUCCCGGUGUGAUGGGGGAGAGAAUCAGAAAAAAAAAACACUACAGCAACACAAAGUAGAGCUUCUGAGUUAAGAUAAAACUAUUUAAUAAAACAGAAAAGGAAGUGGAAAAAAAUAAUAGUCAAUAACAACAAAACAAGUGAUACACAACACAAUUAAUUGCUCACCACCCACUGGCAGAUGCUCAGCCAGUCCCUGAACAGCUGCUUUUCCCCCAGCCAACUCCCCACUGUUCUUCAGUUUUUUUUUGUUUUUUUUUUUUGCAUGAUGCCAUAUGGUAUGGAAUAUCCCUUUGGCCAGUGUACCUCAGCUGUCCUGGUUCUGCCCCCACCCAGCUCCUUGUGCCCCCGCAGCCCUCCUCACUGGCACAACAGUACAAGAAACUAAUAACUGGAACGUCCCUGGCUCUGUGCAGCACUGCUCAGCAACAACUAAAACACUAUGAAGAAAUGUCCCAGCAGAAACCAGGACAUGCUGGACUGCAGAACGAUGCGACUCUUACUUUGAGGAGCACCACAGCUUGCCAGGGGUUAAUCAGAUUAGUACCUUUGGUCCUCUUCCUCAGUACUGGGGCUGUUACUGUUGAUUUCAUCAAAACAUUCUUUUCUGUAAAGAAAGGAGUCCUUACAGUUUGAUAGAGGCCACAGAGGUGUCAAAACGUUGAGCCUGAGGUUUUUCACUUAUUGUCACCUUUUUCAGUGAGAGCUCUGCUUAAGCUGAAAAGGUUUCAGCAGUGUGAAAUUGCCGAAGGAAAGGAAACAUUCAACAUUUUCAGCUUCAUAGUCACCCAAGCCAUAGCUAGUUCUGGAAGGGUCGAUGAGUGUAUGGACAUGAGUAAGCCUUCUGAGACUAGUGUGGGCUCUAUCAGACCUAGCAGGGGUUUCCCAGGUCAGACCCAAAGCUCUCCACUCGAGAUCUGAAUGUCACUGCAGCUGCAUCUACAGGAAGGCUUUGGCUAACACUGUACAGUAAAACAUAUCUAUUGUUCCCUCAAUAGACAAAGCUAUAACAGGAAAAAUGUCUUGUGUCAACCUGGCCUUUGAAAUACAAAUGAGUAAGAGCAACCUCACUUUUAAAUGUCAUCAUGUGCUUUGUGCACUCACUUUGUAAUUUGCUUUUCUGUGGUUACUGCAUUUCAGGGCUUUUGCUUCAAAUGAUGUUUCAACAAAAGGGAAAAGAAAAGAAAAGGCAUUUCUGGUGUCUCAUGGGGAGUUCUGUGGGGUUGCACUGACUCUGCUUCUACUUUUAAGCAUCAAGACAGGCAUUUUGUUCCUAUAAAGUACCUGCUGAUGGUGGAAAUACCGGCAGCCUUGUUUUCUUAUUUUAUGAAGUUUGAGAGAAAGGUGUAUGAAGGAGCACUGUGCAUCUCUGCUUAGCAAGCUUGGCUUUUCCUAUAUGCCCCAGGUCUGAUUCAGAGUGCUUUGGGUCCUGUGGUUUGCAGUGAUAUAAUGAAACUUCCUCUUGGUGAGGAUAGCCAUCCAGUGCUUGCAGCAUGGCAUGUGCCAUCCAAGCACCCUGCUUGCCAAAUCACCUUGUUCUUUUGUUCAUUGCCUUCUGCAUGGAACACCUUUGGGGUUUGCCUGAAGUCCUGCAUCUGCUUGGUGGGCAUCUAUUCCUUCAAAGUGAAUCUGAAAGUGUGUGCAGAACUGACUCUGGAAUUGGGUAUGUCCUUCUUCAGGGAAGCUGGUGGAACAAACUGUUAUUUGGGGUUAUACUGUGAUGGGAUGACUGGUUUUGGGUGCUUUUGGUCUGUUUGUGAUUAAAUCUGAUGGUGACAAUAAAAACAGAACAAGAAAUAAUGUGAAAAGUGAAUAAAAGCCCCGGAAGGAUAUUUUGGGUUGCCAGAGGAUCUUCAUCCACGGAAAAUUAAUUGUUUUAAAGUAACUCAAUGACUAGUUUGAGUCGGCUUUGCAGACUCCUGUCUGAGCAAUGGACAUUUCUGUGGAAUUAAUCAGAAGGAACUGCAGUUUCUUUUACCAUGGGCAAAAAUAGCCCUUAGACUGAGAACAACGUGUAAUAGCAAUGACUGUAGCUGUUGACUUAGCCAGAAAUACACAGCCAGUAAUAAAUACAAAAAUCAUCAGGAAAUAUGGACCGCUGAAUCUGUGCUGAAAAUCACUCAGCUUUAUUGCAGUGAAUGGGUAAGGGGGUUGGAAAGAGCAGCAGGAGUUUUGGGGUGAGGUGCUGUGACUGGGGGUAUACUGUGAGGUGGGAUGGAAUUGGGUGGGACAAGCCAGCAUGGCACAGGAUGGGAUAGCAGGGGAUGGCAUGGUGUGGGAUGGCAUUGCAUGGGACAGGGUAGGAUGUCCAUGUACAUGCAGGGGAGUGGCAGAUCCACAGUUCAUAGGUCCUGGGAUUCAGCAGUUUGCAGUGUUGAAGGCAAUGCUUGGCCAGUCAGCGGUACUGCUCACACUGUUCUAAUUUGACAAGGUGGAUGAUCUGUUUUGAAAACAAGAAUGGGGGGAGUGGACAUCUUUUCUCCACUUUGUUGAUGCUGAAAUACCAUGUUGCAAUAUCCUGUGUUUUAGGAUAUUUAAAUAUACUUUACAACUUGAUUUUGUAUUUUUUCAUGUUUGCCUGCCACUCAAAAUGAGCUACAUUUCAAGUAGCUGUUGAAACUCCCCAGGCUGCCCUGGAACUGCUACAUCAUCCUGGUAGCAGCCCCCGGGGCAGGAAGGAGAUGCUCUCCACUUUCAGGUGGCCCAGAGAAGGGCAUGUCCUACUCUCACUUUCUUGGCUCAGCUGGUGCAAACUAUGUUCAUGCCAUGAGGGAGACUGAAUUUAUCUUGUCAGGUGUCUAGGAAGGGGUGAUAUGAGCAGCAUCAUAUUCCCACUUUGUUUUAGCACCCCCAGCCUUGCAGACCUUGCAUUUUGACACUUUCUGAAUUGGUUGGUGAUGUGCAGUGGGCUCUCAGCUCGUUCUCCAAUUUUUCUGCCUUUCAGUGUAGAUUUUCCCCUCUCUGCUUUAAGCACAUCAUUUAAAACCACAAACAGUCUGGUGAUGUGGAGCAGGCUGCUGGUGCUCAUCCCUGUGGCACUUAAGGCAUAGAGAAUGGUUUAAGUGAGAGGAUUCUACAGAAAUGGUCAAAUUAUAAAAUGGCUUAGGUUGAAAGGAACAUUAAAAAUCAUCUAGUUCCUGCCAUAGGCGGGGCUGCCCCCCACCAGCUC